UACAUGUGGGGCAAGCGUUGUUCAGAAUUACUGGGCAUAAAGGGUGCGUAGGUGGCUUGUUAAGUCAGGGGUGAAAGUUUUCGGCCCAACCGGAAAAUGGCCUUUGAUACUGGCGAGCUCGAGUGCGUGAGGGGUAACCGGAACGAGCAGUGUAGCGGUGAAAUGCGUAGAUAUUGCUCGGAAGGCCAACGGCGAAGGCAGGUUACUGGUGCGCAACUGACACUGAGGCACGAAAGCGUGGGGAGCAAACAGG
rnacentral:rRNA from 1 species